rnacentral:rRNA from 1 species
AUUGAACGCUGGCGGCAUGCUUUACACAUGCAAGUCGAACGGCAGCGCGGGCUUCGGCCUGGCGGCGAGUGGCGAACGGGUGAGUAAUGCAUCGGAACGUGCCCAGUAGUGGGGGAUAGCCCGGCGAAAGCCGGAUUAAUACCGCAUACGACCUGAGGGUGAAAGCGGGGGACCGAAAGGCCUCGCGCUAUUGGAGCGGCCGAUGUCGGAUUAGCUAGUUGGUGGGGUAAAGGCUUACCAAGGCGACGAUCCGUAGCUGGUCUGAGAGGACGACCAGCCACACUGGGACUGAGACACGGCCCAGACUCCUACGGGAGGCAGCAGUGGGGAAUUGUGGACAAAGGGGGCAACCCUGAUCCAGCCAUGCCGCGUGCGGGAAGAAGGCCUUCGGGUUGUAAACCGCUUUUGUUCGGGAAGAAAUCCUCUGGGCUAAUACCCCGGGGGGAUGACGGUACCGGAAGAAUAAGCACCGGCUAACUACGUG